UACGUAGGGUGCGAGCGUUGUCCGGAAUUAUUGGGCGUAAAGAGCUCGUAGGCGGCUUGUCGCGUCGGAUGUGAAAGCCCGGGGCUUAACUCCGGGUCUGCAUUCGAUACGGGCAGGCUAGAGUUCGGUAGGGGAGAUCGGAAUUCCUGGUGUAGCGGUGAAAUGCGUAGAUAUCAGGAGGAACACCUGCGGUGUAGACGGCUUACUGGACGGUAACUGACGCUGAGGCACGAAAGCGUGGGUAGCAAACAGG
rnacentral:rRNA from 1 species